UCUGUAACACAAUGAAGAUUGGCAGCCGAGGGUGCUAACAGUCGGUGAAAAAAAUGUCCUCCGAGAAACUUUGGUACCUUCCCAUAAAGUUCUUCUACCACCUCUCCACAUAAAAUUGAGAUUGAUGAAGCAA